GAUAAUUUAUCUGAUAAGUCAAUUAUAGAUAAUUUAGAGGAUGGAGAUGUUUCCCAUAGUUCAGAAAGGAAUACAGAGAUUACAACAUCAACAUAUGGUACUCGCCAUGUCCUUGUUUUGGCUGAUUUCCCACCAAGCACUAAAACAAUAGAACUGGAGAAGCUUUACGAGAAUUUCAGAGAUCGGGGAGUUGUAAUUCGCUGGGUCAAUGACACCACUGCACUUGCAGUUUUCCGAACACCAUCAGUUGGUAAUUCAUGUUGUACUUUUUUUAUAAAAAAAAUGCUCAUUUCAUGUAAAUAGUUAACAAUCUAUUUGGCAUCCCCUAUCAAAUUGGAUGUAAAUUCUGGUACUGUAGAUUUGUAGGUAAUGUGAAUCCUGACUUGCUUAGUCUUCCCCGGGCUUAAAUGUUCUAUAGAAUGGUUACAGUCCUUGACAUUUAUGACAGAUGCAAAUUUUCUUUU